UUCACAGCUUUCCCUGGAGGUCAGAGGAAGCCCUGAUAACACACCAUGCAGAGGGUGAAGAUCCUGCCAGGGUUCGUGACCACGAUGUGGAUGCAGACCUUGCUGAGGAGGCUGCCGGGGCUGUUUUGAAGAUCUUGCUAAGGAGCAGAUGCGAUCUCACAUGAGUGAAAUCUUCUUGCAAGCAAAUAAGAGAGUUCUGUGAUCUGAAAGGAAGAAAGUCCAAAAGGCCUCGAGUGUGUGAUGUACCCUGGAUUCUAACUGCCAAACAGGUAUGGGCUGCAAAGCGCUGUUUCAGUAAUGAAGCAUCUUAGUUUAUUAAGAGUAGGCUAGAGGUGAUGUGAUAAUGGUCUGGAAGUGCCGACAUCCAGGGGAAGCUUCUGAGAGGCUCUUUAAUCUCUCAGACCAGAGCAUCCUGAGACUGGAGAGUUAGCCAUAAAAAAGGUUAAAGGUACAGCACGCAAUGUGUGUUUAAUUAUCCAGAGGAACCGUUCCCCAAGGGUGAUGUGUGCUGCUUUCAGAACUGCGGGUGGGAUCCUGCGCAGAGCCUUGGGAAGCAGCUCCCGCUGCCUGUACCCAGGGAGCACAUCUAUCUGGGAGCUCAUCUCAGUUCCCUGGCUUCCAGGUGCGACUGGUAUGUUGUAUAUUUGUCCCAGGGUUUUGGACAAUUGCUUUGUUUUCAGCUCACUGGUUGAUGUGUGGUUUACAACAGUUCUCAGGAAUUUAUGAUAGCCUGGGAAGAGCUGGUGAGUCAGGAGGCAGACAGUCAUUAAUUCCCAGUAAUGCCUUCGACAGAGUUCAUUACUGUUAUCAGAAGAUUAAAUGAUGUGAAAAGUAGAUUUAUUUAUUUUUCCCAGGCUGAUGCAGUUUGCUUUUGGAAGACACUGUGCUCUGGGGAAAAGCAGUGCCAGUGCAUUGGCAACCGAGGAGCCCGAAUCCUCUUGCAGCAGUUUAUUCAAUGCAGAACCGUUUGCUGUGUGUUUGAAGGAAGAGGUUGUAUCAAGGUCACUCCACCGGAUUCAGCUUUGCAGUCUCUGUGAAAGGAGAGCUCUCACUGUCCUCAUAGAUCUUUUUUUACUCCCCUCCAUACGUAAAAGGCAGGUCUCGCAAUAAUAAAAGGUUUGUAGAAUGGCACUCUUACAAAGUGUCCUGCUAUAAAGAACUGCUCUGAAUCAGAAACUGCAUCUGUUCCAGAAACCAUCUCUGUCUUUCUCACACCCUCCCUCUGGGUUCAGUCCUUGCCUCCGCUUCGUUGCCAGGAUGGCAGUUUGAUGGUUGCAGAGACGAUUCAGGGCUGUUCUUCCCAUACCAGACCUUGCAGGGUGCCAAGGAGGAAACGGAGAGGUACCCAUUUGAAAAGCAUUUAGCAGAUUAGAAUAAAAUUAAUCUGGCAGUUGCCAUAAAACCUUCAGGAGCUAUCCUCACAGAGCAUUUUCCUUCUCUUUUUUAAUGCUGCAUGGAGGAUGCACUGGACGGUGAGACCAGCAGCAUUUUCCACUGUCCUCCCAGCCAUGCAGGAGUAGCAACACUAUUUAAUUCCUCUGCUCCCUGUGCUGUCACACUGUGCUCAGGAAGUCAAUCUUGGUUUGAAUUUCAUUCCUUUCUAGCAACGUAAUGCAGGUGGGGUGUGUUAUGGUCAUCCUCCUGUUCCUAGAUUGUGCUCUGUUGGUGCUACAGGGAGGGAAGCAGCUGUGGACAGACUGAGCCCUGGGAGCACAGUCCCCACCUCAUGCUAGGAAGGGCAUUGAGAUUGUGCUUAUCCUGACAGGAGAUGUGGAUUAAUUCAUCAAUUCAAUGUCAGCACUGAAGGAGAGACAAAAGCCCCCAUCCAGGCUGGAGGCUGAGCAGAUAGAGACACUGAUCGCUGGAAAGUUUUACGAGGAUAAUAAAAAAACAUCAUAAUAAAUGGCCAUGAAUAUUUCAUGGUGGGUGUAGUGCUUAUAUGAUGUAUCAUAGAGAAGUGAUGGGUUUUUUCAACAUUCGGAUGCAAAUGGGGAACGUGUUCUAUAUUUUGCAGGUUUCUCCCCAGACACGCUAUGUUUUCUAAAAAUCAGAUUGACUGGGAGUUUUUGAUAUGAGAAACAACUUCAUGCUCUGGUUAGAAUAAUAAUAAAAAAAAGCACAGACAGUAUCAGAGGGUUGUUGGUGCCAAAGAUGAAAAAAUCCCACGCAGAUCAAGUAGCUCAUCUCCCUAAAUGUCGGGCGAAGCUAGUUAAGAUUUACCAAAGGGAAAUCAAGUGCUUUGCUGUCCUUGGAGCUGGAUCUGAUUUCUCUACUCGAUAACAGCCGCACUUCUGCGCUGCGGACUCCAAAAUGUCAGGUGGCUGUGACACGAUGCAGCCACUGGUAACUGGAGAGGAGGUGAAAGCAGGGGACCAAAUCCUUCUUCCUCACUGCUCGGUGGUAGAUGUUGGAGCUUGCUUGGGAUCAGCCUGGGGCAGAAAGCAGAAGAAUCCCUUGUCUGGAGGGGACCAGAGUUUUUGGGUUGUUGAGUUUCACCCAAACUUGCACACUGAGUUUGCUUUGGUGGAGCCCUUUGUUCAAAGGCAUCGGCUGGCAUGAUGCCUUCAUCUAACCAGGUUCCCCAGUACAGACCUGCUCUGCCCCAGAGCAGCACAAACACCAGUGCACUAACACUGACCACUCCUCUUCACAAGCAACUUUCACAUACUUGUCCUGUCUUCCUUUCUUUUAAUUAAUUCUAUCAGAUCCCCAGACACCUACCAAAAUGCAAUCCACGUUGCGUAUUUGCAAGUUUGGGUGUUGCAGGAGCGGUUUCUAACAAGACACCUGCCUGCUGUCCCUCCUGUCCCUGCACUGUCUUGCUUGGCGCAGGUGGCAAAGCCUGGGUUUGAAACAAGAGAUGGGCCAAGAGGGGACCUUUGUGGGCACCUGUCUGGGCAGAGGAACAGGUAUGAAGUGGAAUAAGCUGCAGGAGACAACCUGCAAGUCCAUGCUCUGCUUCAUCAGCUGCAGGAUGCGCUUGGCUGUUUUCACCCAUUGCUGCUUCUCUGCUUCUGUUUUCCCAUCUCUAUGGCAGGGUGAGUAGCACUCAGACCCCCCUGAGUGAAGCAUCGGUGUGGAGGAACUGCAGAUAUGUGCCUGGUAACAGUAAGAUACAAAAAAUUACCAGCUAAUUACUUCCAAAGCCUGACUUUCCACCCAGCAUGGGCUGGGGGGUAUCCCUCCUGCCUCCUCUUUCUGUGGGGAACCGCUCCAUCCUUCUGGGGACAUCCAUACAGAUAUCCCACCAGGGACUGGUUAUUUCUCUUCUCUUCUCUUCUUCUCUCCUCUUCUCCUCUGCUUUGCAAGUUGUCAGUGAGCUGUACGUGAUUCCUUUGGAUUUCUCACUUUUUCCUUGUUAUGCUGCUGAUCUGGUGGCACCAGUGACGCUGGGUGCUUGUACCCAAAAUGGUUGUUCUAUGUUUUUGCCCUCCACAUUGUAUUGGUGGCCUUCAGUGGCCCAGGGCAUCCAUACUUAUUGUCUUUCUAGGGACUUGUUCCAGCUUCCCAGCCACCAUGGCCAACAUCUUCUCCUCCCCAUUUUAAUUUCACUCCAAACUACCCGGGUCGGGACACAGCACCUGCACACAGGUGUGGAUGCUGCUCACAGGAGCACUUCUGCAGAGCACCAUUUUCACCAGCAUGUCAAUGAAUAAGAAAGUCACCUCCAUUUGCAGAGCAAACUUUGGUGAUAUGUUCAGCCAGAUGGCUCCUCGGUGGAGUUGGGCCCAUCAAACUGCAAGUGCCUUUCCAGAAAAGAGGGGAAAAAAAGAAAAAAAAGAGAAAAAAGAAGAGAAAAACGAUGCAAAAGUGCACUUGCUUUUAAAGUCUGUACCAAAUGAGGCUGCGAGCUAAUUUUUCCCAAACUGGGUGUUGUCAGCUGAUGAAAACUCUUCCACAGAGGUGCUAAGCUCACUUGCUGGAUCAGAAGUAUUUCUUGGAGAGUGCUGAUGAGAUUAUGCCUUGAUCAGCCAAAACAGGCCUGAUUUGAAUGUGCUUUACUACGAAGCAGUCAUUACAUUUCUCUCUAGGAUUCAAACAAACAUUUCCUCCAUAUUUCAGUGGUGCUGAACUGGCUUUGCAAAGACCCCUCCAGGCUUUUGCUUAGGAACUGGUGAAAUUAUUCUGCCUAAUGCCUCCAGAAGUUAAGUUACCCAAGCAGAAACUGUGCCACGGAGGUCCCAGGAGCUGCGUGAAGCAAACGGCACGUUGGUUUCUAUGCCAGUCUCAAGGUAGCAGCUGAAGCAUAAGCUGGGGAUGGGAAAGCGCUUAAUGUGUUCACACUCUUUGUUGUUUUGUACUCCUUUUGUCCAAUAAUUUGUCACUGUUCCUCCUGGAAAACGUGUGGAUGAGAGAAGCGGCGUAUGUCCAUUUUUCCCAUCUGCUCUGCUAACACUGCAGGACCCCGUAGCAGAAGAGCCUCAGGCUUCUUGCUCGCUACAGACAGCAGCGAGUCAGCAGUGCAGCCAGGUAGGAUGAAUUCCAGUUAGAUGUUCUGUGCAGUGUUUCUUCCAUGUGGAAACUGGUGGGAUUAAAUCCACAGGUACUGACCACACAAAUGCCUGUCAGCUGGACUUCCCACUGCAGGAGGAUGCUCUCUGUGCGGUGAGCAUCUGCUCAGGUUUCCUUUGUCAACGUUGAGUUUAGCUUCCAUAACGUAUAGCCAUAAAGACAGCCUGUAUCGGGUUCAAAAUAGCUAGCAGAGCUCCAGGUAAUAUUUUCUACAAAAUCUGAAUCAACUCAGACAAAAGAUUUCUUAAUUAAAUUCCCUGAAGUACAGAGCUAUAGUUAGGGGCUCAUGGGGUUACUCACACGUUCUGGUUUGUCACUUGGAAAGACAUUAGGGAAGAGAAAGAGAAAUGCUGGUGUCAUAGUUUAGCCCCAGCCACCCCCUGGCCAGCAACUAGAACAUAGUGGGAUGAGGAGGAGAAUCAGGAAAUGAAAGGCAGAAUUCAUUGGUUGGGAUAAGAAUAGUUUAAUGGAACCACAAAAAUGAAAAAAAAAAAAAGAUAGAAUAUACAAAGCAAGGGAUACACAGCGCAAUUUCUCACUGCGUGGAAAUCCCAGUGUGCAAGAUGCCCUUUCGGAGCAAACUGUUCUUCUAAGCAGUAAUGCUGAACUCCUGACUGCAACCUGUGCCCAAACCUCCCCAUCCGGACAGCAGCUCUACCCAAAGCACAAUAGUACCGAACUGCGUGGUCUAGAGAGAACUGAGAGCGUCACGGACUGACCUGCUCUCUGGCAGUGAGAUUAAAUAAAAAGCCUCCCUCCUGACCAGCCACACAGUUUAAAAACUGAACACAACCUUAUAUGAUAUUGAACAUUCUUUUGAGUGGGUUUGGGUCACCCCCUCCCCAGCCACCUGUGGAAAUUAACCCUAUCUCAGCUGACCCAGCACAGCUGGUAACCAACAUUUUGUAACCAGCUGCAAAGCACCAAAAGAGAAAUCACCACUGUAAAUAGCAGGGUCCAGCAUUACUGUCUCCCCUUCACCGGCCCUGUCUCUUUUGCUCCAGAGCAGGAGCCCAGCUUCGCACCCAAGCUGGAGCCUCCUGGCUCUGCAGAGGCUUUUUGGACCUGUUGAUUGCUCCAGGAGGUUAACUGUGAACUCAGGAUGUUACGAAUGUAGGUAGCUUCACACCUUGGAGCUUCUUGAUUUAAGGUGUCUGCCCUGGAAGGUCUUCGGUCCUGUGCUGUUUAAUGGAGCACUUCUGCUGGGGUGCAGAGGAGAGCUCUGAGGAGCCUGCAGUGAUUUACUCCCUCCCCAUGGGGGCUCAGAGAGUGAAAUCUGCCCCACGCAGGUUGGGUAGGAGGUGCAGAAGAGGCCAUUACGGAUGAAGAAAGUGGGGCAGUUUGCAGGGGGUGCUUUGCUUCUCCCUGGCGGGGUGUGGGUGCCACAAUUUCCCUUGGUUGGGGGCUCUGCAGCCCCUCGGUUGGCACGGGGAUGUUGAUGGUGGGCUAUGUCAGUGCUCUUGGGAAGGUGGUGUGUAGUCUCACUGCUGAGGGCUUCUUUAUUUUUCAAACCACCAGUUACCUGUGUAGACUUGGCAAGUGCCAUCAUGCAUGUGAAAGGACAAAACAUGAUAAAGCAUCAUUAGAACAAGGUCUGGCUGAUUGGGAACUCCAUCACUAAAUGUAUGUACCUUCUCCCUGCAUUGGUUUACACAAAUAAGUCUGAGUCGUUGUAGACCUUUGAGAUUCACUCUCCUUACCUUUACAAGGACUAGCUGUAAAAGGAGACAUCUUUUUUACUUGUCCUGUGUUAAACACAAAUGAAGCGCUUCCCUUCUAAAAGCAUUUUAAGACAAAAUAAUUAACAAGCAGGAAAACAACCACCAGUUUGGAGUCUUGCGAAGCUGUUUUACGCUUCCCCCAGGACCCUUCCUCCCUCUCAUCCCAUUUCUCUUGCUUCCCUUGCAGUUUAUGGCCCUGAGCUGGUAAAUCACAUUCAGCCCCGUGCCUCGCUCUGCACGUAAAUAGUGGUGUGAUCCUGUCGAAUAAAUGUGUGUGAUGAAAGUGCCUUUAGCGAAGCGCGCUCCUGCUCUCCCAACCCCCCAGUGCGUCGCCCCCGGGCUUGUGAGCACUCGGCUCACACGUUUAUUAUUUAUCUUGGUGAGCUGUGCUCAAAUCCGAGAACCUGACUUCAUGGCCCUGAAUUAUUGCACCAAAUCUGUUCGUGAGGACCUGAGUUUCAGCAGUGGCUGAUAUGAAUAGGUCUGCCUGCAGCUAAAAAUAGAAAGCGCGGGGCAGGCUUCUUGGCAGAGCUAUAGUAACUUCUAAUAUAAGGUGGCUCUGCAGCAGUUCCCAUGGCAAAGCUUCCUCUGACGUGGUGGGGAAAGCUGUAGCGUGCACUCAAGCCAAUAUUAGACAAUAGAGAUUCCUUGUGGGAACUGACUUGUGAGGUGCAGGGGCCAAUGUUGAGUUUUGAAGUUUCCUUCUCACUCCUACGGGCAGCCCUGCCCUGGAGAAGCGACUCCUAGGAUUUGUAUUUCUCUGUGCUUUGUUUUCUCCUCUGCAAGGGAUUCUGGCUGCUGCAGUGGAUGUGUUUUAGCUGCAUGGUUUUUUUGCUUUCUCUGCAACAGGGGAGGCUGCAGCACGUGGGCAGAUUUGCAGACCCCAGCGAGCCUGGUCUGCCCCAUGGCUCUACCCCACACCUUUAUUCCUCCUCCUCCAUGGAAGUGUUUGCUCAUUCCCCUGCUCCCAAGCCCAGCAGGAAGAUGUGCUUUCUCAGCAUUCCUGGUUAUUCUGCUUUCUGCCCCAGGUAUUGCUCUAUGGUCUUGCUUGCAAUGGACUGUUUCCUUCCUUGCAAGGCCAGACAUGGCUGUUGUAACUCUGCAAAUCUCCUGCAUCACGGGAACUUGUUUCUCUGUUCAUUCGGGUUUAUCUGCUGUGAAAAUCUGUGCUCCCCCGGUGCCCCCCAAACUCACCGAGAGUAUUCAUGCCGCCGGUCAUGACAAUGGUUCAUCACAGCGAUGCUAAUGGCCACACAUGGCUCAUUGUUCCCUGCGCUGGAACAUAUGGUGUCCUGCCUUAACACUGCCCCAUGCAAACGCUUCUGCACGAGGAGCAGCUGUGAAAAGGUUCAGUGGAUCUCCCCAGUGUCAGCCAAGUGUAAUGUCUAGUGCUCUUCCUUAUGGAUAACUGCGUGGCAAGAUGAGGCAGCAGGACAGUAGGGAGAGCUCUGGGGAGCGUGGCUGUGGUCCAGCACAGCUCUCCUCCUUGCCCAGGGGCAAUGGUGCUAAGAUGCAGCUGCCUCUGGGGUGGGGGGCAGCAGCAGGACAGCAUGAGGACAGGAAUGAGGUAAGGCAAGGACAAGAUCUAGGCCACUACUGCUGGGCUCAGCUUCACGUUUGGACAGAAUCCAAGUGCUGUGGUCUUUUCAUCCUAGGCAGAAUGCUCUGCUCCUGUGUCAACCUGAGCAAGUCCUUGGUGCAGGACUUGGCUCCUCUGGAGGUGGAGGGAGCUGUCAGGUGGAAGAUUUCUUGGGGCUAUUGCACAGGUAACCAACAGGGCUGGGACCUUCACCUGCAAGAGUGCUUAGUCCUUGUAUUAGCAUGAAAAUAACUAAAAAGUAGUGCUGUGGAUGGAUUAAAGAGCAGACCCUGCUGCCCAGGGUGUGUGACUUUGGAGGGGAGGGAGGGCAAGUGUGUGCCUCUGGCUGGUUCAUCCUGACUCUUCCCCAGCUGGGGAGGGGGCUGCAAAAGCAGUAUGAACACUGAUGUCCCCCUGGGCACACCCUUGGCAUGGCGCUGGGUUCCCCUCGGCUUGCCGGUGCUGUGAGAGGGUAGAACAAGUCUGAGGCUGUCCUGGUCUCUCUGAGCCUCAUCCUGCCACCUCCCUGGAGAGGAAGCAAGAAAACAGGUUGGGUAACCUUUAUCUCUAUGCAGAGCUCAGCAGAAAGAAACAAUCCAGCUUUUGGGUAAGUGGGUUGCAUUAGACAGGCUGCUACGAUUUUCUUGUCCUGCCUUCUCCCCCGUCAAGUAAUUUUUGGCUGGCUGUGGCAAGGAAGUUGUCCCUGAGUCUUUUCAGGUGGAGAAGUUGCUAUAUAAGGGCUGAUUGUAGCUCUUGCAUCAGCCUGUAUGGAAGUGAGCAGCCCUGGAGGGUUUGUGGGUACCAGAGGCAUGGAGGGGGAGGAGAGGGCUGCCAGGGAGAGUGUGCAGAGUUUAGAGAUUAGAGGUGUGCUGUGGUUAAAGACAACCCUUUAUUUGUGAUGGGAGCCCUCUACACCUUUGCUCUCCUGUUCCCCUGCUUGCUCUCCUGUCCACAGAAAGCUUCUAGGAAGCCCCAGGACUGUUGCUUUCCCAGCACAAACAGAAGCCUUGCUGGGUAAGCACAAAAUCCUCCUGUAGGAAGUCUGUCACUUGGUGUUGUGUUCAUGGUCCAUCCCUUGAUGCUGCAUACAGACGAAAGGCAGGAUGGAGAUGUGCUUGUGGCUGUCCAGGAGCCCUGGUCACUCACAGAUCCAUCCCUGGAGUAGCUGCACUCCCCAAAGCCCCUGCCAUGGGGGUGGCUGAUGGGUAAGAGCAGAGCCCAGCCCUGGCUGAGGGGACCUGACCCCAUCACUGCCUAAAGGGUCUGACAGUGUCCAUAGGGCAUGUUUUGAUGCUGCUAGAGAUUGGGUAUGCUAUUGAAUGAGUCUUCCUCUUUUGCUGUGAUAUGGCUUUAGGUCUAGGGUGUGAUGGAUGCACUCCUGUUUGAACUAACUGAGCUUCGGUCCAGGUGGAAGCUCAGCAAGUAGGCCUGACCUAAUCCUAUUGUGCGAGGCUCUCAGUCAGAACUCAGCACCAAUUCCCCCCAAAAAAUCCAUUUGGCUGGAGACUGGGCUGAUAAGUAGCUGAAAUGGCAUUAACACAGCAGAAGAUCUGACUAAAGAUCAUCCACUUCACACUAUAAAUAUCUGCAGCCAUCAGCGUCCACUGAGCUCUCCCUCCACAGCAGCUGCUGCACAGCGGUGAUCUCCCCUCGAGCAGGGACCCUCGCAAGGUGACCCCUUGAGGCUGAGAGAUGCCUCAUCUGGCACCAGACACCACUGUGUUGCUUAGGUUGCUGAUGCCAUCUGUGAAAACACCAGGGCUGUAUGUUUCUGUGCCCACCUCAUUUGCAUGGGAAAAACGCUGAACUGAGAGACGCUGGUUCAUCCCUCUGCCCUGGCCAUGGACCUCCUGCUCAGGUCAGUAGGGAGCACUGCACAGUUUCUUUGCUACUGAAGAGGUUUACAGCGUUCCUGCCCCUUGCGCUGUGGUGCAUCAGAGGUCCUGAAUGAUAAAAAUCCUUCAGACUCUGUUGCUUCAGUGACUGCUGGUGUAUUGCUUCAGUGCUUCGUGAAGACUCGUUAGCCCACAGGAGAGGGUGGCAAGACCUCAUCUCUGGCCUCCCCAGCGCUCCGUGGGGUUUAGCAGCACACUAAGGCAGCACAAAGACUCUUGCACAGCUCCUUUGGUGGGGCUGAGGGUUUCAGCUAAUGACAACAUAAGGACGGGAGUACAUACACCAAGACAAGUCCUUGCUGGUCCUCUUCAUCCCUGUUUGUGUCCUGUGGGCAUGCGGAGCCUUGGUAUGGCUGGCGUUGAUGAGUCUGCACUGCAAGCCUGGUGCAUCGCAGUUUGAACAGCCACCCCUGUCCUGCAGAGCUGGUCCCCUGCAUGUGGGGAAAGCCGUGCAGCCACUUGCUUUCCCUUGGCUAUAAACCCCACUGACGUGCAGGGCUGUGGCAGCUGCCAGCCGUGGUUGGGUGCUGGCCACCGGUACCCUCAGCAGCAAGGAGGGAGCUGGUGCUACGUGGUGCCUCUCUCCUGUGGGCUCAGCAGGAACCUUGCACUUUAGAAUUAACUUCAUUUUUUCUUUUUCUUGCUGAUUUAUCUUUUGAGUUUUCUAGGCCAGCUGUCCUCCUUUAUUAUCCUCACGCUACCUAUUUAUCUCAUCUGCCCCCUCUUCUCCCCGCUUUCCUCCCUCUGGUUGCCUGUCCGUUGCUGAGCUCUUGCCCGCCGGCAAAAACAAGCCGCAGCGGCGGAGCAUGACAGACCCCGCUGAAGACACAUCGUGCCCGACAGCUCAGGCCGAGUCAGCAAAGCCGGUCCCUGCUCGAUGUCCCCCGGCAUCCAGCCCACACGUGGGAGGAAACUCCCGAGGUGCUCCACCACCGCCAGCACCUCCAACACGUCUCCCGUCCCGUCUGUGCUGCUUCUGCACUGUGAGGACAACCGAGGUGCAGAAAGCUGCAGUUGCAUUUCAAGUCAAUCUCAGCCAGGUCCCAGUGACAUCUACAAGGCAAGCUGUGGUCUCUGUGGCCUCCAAAUAAUCACUGAGAAUAGUGAUCCUGCCAGCUGACUCCUACUUUUGCCAGCUGCACAGCACCAGAGUUUGUGGAUGCAUCCAGAAAGAGUUUCCUGGCACUACAGCAAGGGAAAUGGCCUCUUCCUUCUGGAGCACAGCCCAGCUGGAGAUCAUCUGGGAGGAAAGCUUUUUUGGGCAGCAGAAGUCUUCACUGCCUGGCCCAUGUGCAAUAGCCUCCAGCAAAAAGGGGACAACUUUGGCUGUUCUUUGGCUCUCAAUAUCUACUCCUGCUCCUUCUGCUCAAGCAUCAGCAUCUUGGCCUCCAUCCCUGGGAUGUUUCCCUGCUUGGUUCUGAACUCAGAGAGCCUGGACAUCUGGCUGCCCUAAGAUGGUGAAAACCAACGUGCCCUACGUGCUCCAGUGCCCCAGCCUGAACAAACAGGCCUGUACACCACUACAGGCCUCUCCUGACUUGGGGUUUUCAAGAGUCACCAGGACAAAUUCUUUCCUUUAAGAGAAACCUGGACCAUCAGCAGGUGAAAGAUGCUUCUGCAAGAGAUUUUUCUUCUCACACAGUCUUGAGUUUUUUUACCUGAGCUGUUGACCUCUGUUGGACGCUAUCAGGGGCUGGCUGAAGCUCUCUGAUGGAAUGGCUGGCUGGUUCGUGAAGGACAUUUCCUGGACAGGAGCAAUAGAAGAUUUCCAUUAUGGCAAGGACCACA